rnacentral:rRNA from 1 species
GGGUUGUGAGGUUAAGCGACUAAGCGUACACGGUGGAUGCCCUGGCAGUCAGAGGCGAUGAAGGACGUGCUAAUCUGCGAUAAGCGUCGGUAAGGUGAUAUGAACCGUUAUAACCGGCGAUUUCCGAAUGGGGAAACCCAGUGUGAUUCGUCACACUAUCAUUAACUGAAUCCAUAGGUUAAUGAGGCGAACCGGGGGAACUGAAACAUCUAAGUACCCCGAGGAAAAGAAAUCAACCGAGAUUCCCCCCAGUAGCGGCGAGCGAACGGGGAGCAGCCCAGAGCCUGAAUCAGUGUGUGUGUUAGUGGAAGCGUCUGGAAAGGCGCGCGAUACAGGGUGACAGCCCCGUACACAAAAAUGCACAUAUUGUGAGCUCGAUGAGUAGGGCGGGACACGUGGUAUCCUGUCUGAAUAUGGGGGGCCCAUCCUCCAAGGCUAAAUACUCCUGACUGACCGAUAGUGAACCAGUACCGUGAGGGAAAGGCGAAAAGAACCCCGGCGAGGGGAGUGAAAAAGAACCUGAAACCGUGUACGUACAAGCAGUGGGAGCACGCUUAGGCGUGUGACUGCGUACCUUUUGUAUAAUGGGUCAGCGACUUAUAUUCUGUAGCAAGGUUAACCGAAUAGGGGAGCCGAAGGGAAACCGAGUCUUAACUGGGCGUUAAGUUGCAGGGUAUAGACCCGAAACCCGGUGAUCUAGCCAUGGGCAGGUUGAAGGUUGGGUAACACUAACUGGAGGACCGAACCGACUAAUGUUGAAAAAUUAGCGGAUGACUUGUGGCUGGGGGUGAAAGGCCAAUCAAACCGGGAGAUAGCUGGUUCUCCCCGAAAGCUAUUUAGGUAGCGCCUCGUGAAUUCAUCUCCGGGGGUAGAGCACUGUUUCGGCAAGGGGGUCAUCCCGACUUACCAACCCGAUGCAAACUGCGAAUACCGGAGAAUGUUAUCACGGGAGACACACGGCGGGUGCUAACGUCCGUCGUGAAGAGGGAAACAACCCAGACCGCCAGCUAAGGUCCCAAAGUCAUGGUUAAGUGGGAAACGAUGUGGGAAGGCCCAGACAGCCAGGAUGUUGGCUUAGAAGCAGCCAUCAUUUAAAGAAAGCGUAAUAGCUCACUGGUCGAGUCGGCCUGCGCGGAAGAUGUAACGGGGCUAAACCAUGCACCGAAGCUGCGGCAGCGACGCUUAUGCGUUGUUGGGUAGGGGAGCGUUCUGUAAGCCUGCGAAGGUGUGCUGUGAGGCAUGCUGGAGGUAUCAGAAGUGCGAAUGCUGACAUAAGUAACGAUAAAGCGGGUGAAAAGCCCGCUCGCCGGAAGACCAAGGGUUCCUGUCCAACGUUAAUCGGGGCAGGGUGAGUCGACCCCUAAGGCGAGGCCGAAAGGCGUAGUCGAUGGGAAACAGGUUAAUAUUCCUGUACUUGGUGUUACUGCGAAGGGGGGACGGAGAAGGCUAUGUUGGCCGGGCGACGGUUGUCCCGGUUUAAGCGUGUAGGCUGGUUUUCCAGGCAAAUCCGGAAAAUCAAGGCUGAGGCGUGAUGACGAGGCACUACGGUGCUGAAGCAACAAAUGCCCUGCUUCCAGGAAAAGCCUCUAAGCAUCAGGUAACAUCAAAUCGUACCCCAAACCGACACAGGUGGUCAGGUAGAGAAUACCAAGGCGCUUGAGAGAACUCGGGUGAAGGAACUAGGCAAAAUGGUGCCGUAACUUCGGGAGAAGGCACGCUGAUAUGUAGGUGAAGUCCCUUGCGGAUGGAGCUGAAAUCAGUCGAAGAUACCAGCUGGCUGCAACUGUUUAUUAAAAACACAGCACUGUGCAAACACGAAAGUGGACGUAUACGGUGUGACGCCUGCCCGGUGCCGGAAGGUUAAUUGAUGGGGUCAGCGCAAGCGAAGCUCUUGAUCGAAGCCCCGGUAAACGGCGGCCGUAACUAUAACGGUCCUAAGGUAGCGAAAUUCCUUGUCGGGUAAGUUCCGACCUGCACGAAUGGCGUAAUGAUGGCCAGGCUGUCUCCACCCGAGACUCAGUGAAAUUGAACUCGCUGUGAAGAUGCAGUGUACCCGCGGCAAGACGGAAAGACCCCGUGAACCUUUACUAUAGCUUGACACUGAACAUUGAGCCUUGAUGUGUAGGAUAGGUGGGAGGCUUUGAAGUGUGGACGCCAGUCUGCAUGGAGCCGGCCUUGAAAUACCACCCUUUAAUGUUUGAUGUUCUAACGUGGACCCGUGAUCCGGGUUGCGGACAGUGUCUGGUGGGUAGUUUGACUGGGGCGGUCUCCUCCUAAAGAGUAACGGAGGAGCACGAAGGUUGGCUAAUCUGGUCGGACAUCAGGAGGUUAGUGCAAUGGCAUAAGCCAGCUUGACUGCGAGCGUGACGGCGCGAGCAGGUGCGAAAGCAGGUCAUAGUGAUCCGGUGGUUCUGAAUGGAAGGGCCAUCGCUCAACGGAUAAAAGGUACUCCGGGGAUAACAGGCUGAUACCGCCCAAGAGUUCAUAUCGACGGCGGUGUUUGGCACCUCGAUGUCGGCUCAUCACAUCCUGGGGCUGAAGUAGGUCCCAAGGGUAUGGCUGUUCGCCAUUUAAAGUGGUACGCGAGCUGGGUUUAGAACGUCGUGAGACAGUUCGGUCCCUAUCUGCCGUGGGCGCUGGAGAACUGAGGGGGGCUGCUCCUAGUACGAGAGGACCGGAGUGGACGCAUCACUGGUGUUCGGGUUGUCAUGCCAAUGGCACUGCCCGGUAGCUAAAUGCGGAAGAGAUAAGUGCUGAAAGCAUCUAAGCACGAAACUUGCCCCGAGAUGAGUUCUCCCUGACCCUUUAAGGGUCCUGAAGGAACGUUGAAGACGACGACGUUGAUAGGCCGGGUGUGUAAGCGCAGCGAUGCGUUGAGCUAACCGGUACUAAUGAACCGUGAGGCUUAACCUUACAACGCCGAAG